AUGAGUGGAUCACAGUGGUUUUCUUGGUGGCCACACAAUCAGGAUUAAGAAACCAUGGGACUGGGAAUUAGUCUUCUUGGGCUUGACUCCUGCUUUGCUGUGAAACAGUGGGAGGUCCAUGUUAGCCUCUCUCUUAGUGUCUCACUGGCUCACCUCACCAGGGAUAACAAGCAUUAUAUAUAAUGAUGAAUGGGGAAGUAUCUUGGAAAUUGAAACUUUGUACUAUUUAAGAUACUGUUGUUAGUUGUUAAUUCUAGUUCAUAAUAUAAUUUUUUUUUUCUUCUUAAGUAGGCUCCAUGACCAGCAUGGAGCCCACGGUGGGGUCCAAACUCAUGACAUGAGAUCAAGACCUAAACCAAGAUCAAGAGUCUGACGCUCAACCGACAGAGCCACCUGGGCAUCCCUAGUUCAUAAUAUAAUUUAAAUGAGGCUCAUUUAUUCUUUGCAAAUGGAUUCUUUCCUCUAUUAUGAUAAUACUGUUGAUAAUAUUUAUAUAUUUCAAAGAUUUUAUUUUAUUUUUUUAAUUUUUUUUUUUUAACAUUUAUUUAUUUUUGAGACAGAGAGAGACAGAGCAUGAGCAGGGGAGGGUCAGAGAGAGAGGGAGACACAGAAUCCGAAACAGGCUCCAGGCUCUGAGCUGUCAGCCCAGAGCCCGAUGCAGGGCUCAAACUCACGGACCGCGAGAUCAUGACCUGAGCCAAAGUCGGCCGCUCAACCGACUGAGCCACCCAGGUGCCCCAAGAUUUUAUUUUUCUAAGUAAUCUCUACACCUAACAUGGGGCUUGAAGUCACAACCCCAAGAUUAAGAGUCAGCAUUCUCUACAGACUAAACCAGCCAGAAACCCCUCCUUUAAAAAAAAAAAGAAAAAAAAGAUUUUAUUUUUUUAAAUGGAUAAUACUUAUUUAAUUAACAGAAAUGUGAUUUGUCCACAGACAAACAGCAAGUAGCAGUGCUGCAGCUGGGGCCCUGAUGAAGUUUGGGGAGAUCUAUGAAUAUCCUGAUUCAUAGCCUGUGGUACUUUCCUAGGGUCUUCAGGCACCUGCCCUGCACUGCACCGAGCAUCUUCAGCAUCCUCAACCACGUUAUCACAGUUAAUCACAUUGGGGACAGGCCAGCCAAAGCAGCAAGAAGGGAAGAAGGAAAAAGUUUUUUUACCCGUGUAGUUUCGGUGCCUAAUGUGGAGCUCUCCACUGGCUGCAGCCGCUGAGAGGUCCCGGGACCUGUGACAGGAGCCAGCAGAAGGUAAGAAUUCUAACCAUGCCAGUCUUCCAGUUCUUUGCCUGCAGAGUCUGGUAAGUGACCACUCUAGAGUGGUGAGAGUUCUUUCCUUUUUCUAAAUUUAGAUUAGCAGGAGAGAAAAUUUGUGUGAACUAGUUCCUCGGGUAUAACAACUCUGGUAAAAGUUUGUUAUGAGCACUCUUGUUUUUUAUUGAUCCUUUUUCUCCCAGAGAUGGUCAUUGUUUUCUUUUGUCUCUGUCUUUCAUGACAUUUGUCACAACAAAGAAAACCAUAGAGCAGAACACAGGCAUGAGUCCUAUAAGCCUGUUAUUUGAGCCAGCAUCACAGACUGGUGAGUUCACAGUUCUCACCAGACCAGCAUCUGUUUAGACAAGCUUUGCUGGGGGUCACCAGAUAAAGUUUUUCUUUCAUCUUGUUCUAUGUCCUCAGAGCUUGGCUUUGUAACUAGUGAGACUAUUCUGUUCGGUCACUGCCAGCCAGAAGAUACACAUACCAGCUUGCAUUUGGUGGCCAGUUGAACAUUAGGGUUCUGAGGCACUCAGUUACAAGCAGUACUUUCUUUGUCUGGCCAUGCCAGUUCUUAGGGGAGUUUGUCAUAAGAGCUUCCAGCCCAUAAGGGGCCUUUAUUGUCUGAACCUUUGCUGUCUUGUUAGUGCUGGAAAAGUCUCAUUUUAGUAGCGCUUGUAUAAGUCUGUAGCUGGAGUCAUCUCAUGUUCUCAUGGGAAACUGGAGACACCAUUUUCAUUACACCAUUCUUACUGCUUGUGACCCCGAGUCUUUGCUUUUUUAGGCUAACUCUGGGGGUGAACUUUCUGGGUCUGAUGAGUGCUGCAUCUUUUGUACUCUCUUUUGGGAUGCCUCUUAUGUCUUGUGUGCCAUAAAAUUGUUAUUGAUUUGAGUGACUAUUGAGAUGGGUAUAAGAGCUUACUUGUCAAUGAUGGGUCCUUGGAAUUGGAAAACUUCUGUAUUUGAAAAAAGUUUUAGAGAGCUCUCGUUCCGAAAAAUUGUCCUAUUCGUACCUAUGGAAAUAUCAAAUUAAAAAGUGGAUACAAAGAAGUAUAAUGGUUAGCCUUAGGGACUUCCUUAACAAGAUGGAAGAACAGAAAUUAGACUUAGGAAAAAGUUAAAAUCCACAUUCAACAUAAACGCCCCUUCUUAAAAUCUAGCUCUAUUUCUUCAGCAAAUUCCCUUAGUUCGCCAAACUCCUCCACCUUCCCCACAAAAUCCCUUAAACACCUGGCUACCUGUUUUAACUUCUCUUCCCCUACAAGAUUUAUAGAGAACACUCCAGCCUAAUCUUUAGGUCCAGGGCAUACAGGUCUCUCAUGUAAAUGCUGAAAGCCAGGAAGUAUAUUUGGCAAAAGCAGCAGGAAGUAUAU